CAUUUCUGCUUACAACACACUCUCGUAGUUAUGCACUUUUAGAUUUAAAUUUGUUCACAUUUUUCCCACAAUUCUAUACUUUAUAGCUUCGUCACCCUCUUGGUGUCGGCCAACACAACUCGAUUUGUAGUCUAAGUGGACUUUUCGGGUCGGGGUGUGUCAUUUUAUGUUUCUGAAAAUGAUCCUAUCAAAUAUUUUUAUUUUUUCUUUGAAUUACUCGUGUGUGUGUGUGUGUAUAUCCUAUGCAUUUCGUGACGAUAUUGUAAGGGAGGUCCUACGGAAGAAUAGUUCGAUGCUAGGAUGAUUAGGUCCCUUGACUUGCCAAAUGGUUUCUGGUAUACCUAUAUAGGUCGUUAGGGAUGCAAUACAAACUUAUUUAAGAUUAAAAUUUGAAAUAUUUUAUGAAUGUGUACAUUUAAGAUUAAAAUUUUGAAAAAUAGAUUUAUAAAAAAUUAAUAAGUACAAACUUAUUUGAAUUUUGAAAAUGUUUUGAAUUGAAAAGUAAUUAGGAGUUUAAUGAAGGUAUGAGUAUUAAAACCAUAAAUCAAUUUCUAUUUUCUAUUUUUAAUAAUUAUGUUAUUGACUCAUUAGUACAUUAAUAAGAGGGACUUUGAUUAAAAUUUAACAACUAAUAAGGUCUCAGUCAAUAAAUAUUAGUAAAUAGAGACCGGAUACUAAUUUUUCCAAAAUUAAAUAUUGUGCAUCAUUCUUCAUGCUCACAGUUAUAUCUCAAUUUCUUCUACAUCCAUAACAAGUAAAUUGUCUCAAUUUUUCUUCGACCCCCGUCACUGAUUAAUCAUGUUGACUAAUUUAUGUUGCAGG
rnacentral:lncRNA from 1 species